ensembl:misc_RNA
UUAAAAAUUUGUAGAUUUCUUAGAAUGGAACUAAGUCAAGCCCUUCGUUUCAGCUGGGGCUCACUGCCCAUCGAGGGCAGUGAGUGAGUGGGAU